rnacentral:rRNA from 1 species
UUUGAUUAUGGCUCAGGAUGAACGCUGGCGGCGUGCUUAACACAUGCAAGUCGAACGAUGAAGCUGGAGCUUGCUCCGGUGGAUUAGUGGCGAACGGGUGAGUAACACGUGAGCAAUCUGCCCUUGACUCUGGGAUAACUGCGGGAAACUGUAGCUAAUACCGGAUACGACGCCUUGGGGCAUCCCACGGGCGUGGAAAGAAUUUCGGUCAAGGAUGAGCUCGCGGCCUAUCGGCUUGUUGGUGAGGUAAUGGCUCACCAAGGCGACGACGGGUAGCCGGCCUGAGAGGGUGACCGGCCACACUGGGACUGAGACACGGCCCAGACUCCUACGGGAGGCAGCAGUGGGGAAUAUUGCGCAAUGGGCGAAAGCCUGACGCAGCAACGCCGCGUGAGGGAUGAAGGCCUUCGGGUUGUAAACCUCUUUUAGCAGGGAAGAAGCGAAAGUGACGGUACCUGCAGAAAAAGCACCGGCUAACUACGUGCCAGCAGCCGCGGUAAUACGUAGGGUGCAAGCGUUAUCCGGAAUUAUUGGGCGUAAAGAGCUCGUAGGCGGUUUGUCGCGUCUGCUGUGAAAAUCUGAGGCUCAACCUCGGACUUGCAGUGGGUACGGGCAGACUAGAGUGUGGUAGGGGAGAUGGGAAUUCCUGGUGUAGCGGUGGAAUGCGCAGAUAUCAGGAGGAACACCAAUGGCGAAGGCACAUCUCUGGGCCGUAACUGACGCUGAGGAGCGAAAGCGUGGGGAGCGAACAGGAUUAGAUACCCUGGUAGUCCACGCCGUAAACGGUGGGUGCUAGUUGUGGGUUCCAUUCCACGGAAUCCGUGACGAAGUUAACACAUUAAGCACCCCGCCUGGGGAGUACGGUCGCAAGGCUAAA